CCGAAAUUUUAAAACUCACAAACGCGAGUCUCGUGCGGAAGCAAAUAUGACUGCCGAGACUUUGUGACUCUUCAAGUCUUCCUUUGCUCAAGUCAAACCACACUCGUGAAGCACAUGUGACGAGUCUGUGGUGAGCAUCGGGAGCACUGCGUUUCCUUCGGGAUUCACAGUCUAAAAAAACGAAUUGUAGAAGUAAUAUAUCAAACGAAUUGUAAAAGUAAAUAUAUAAAACAAAAAAAAGACGAAAAAAAAAU
rnacentral:misc_RNA from 1 species